UUAACUUAUCUGUUGUUGUUAUCUCAGGAUUUUCUUCUUUUCUUGGCGCAGGAAAGGUACCAGUAUGCUUCAGUGAAGAUGAGCUGGGAUGCUCUGCAGUCACUAGUAGAGGUCUGGAUGUGCGGUGUUACCCGAGAGCAUACCACAGACAAGAUUGGUUUGGACAGGAUAGAGGAACGUAGAUAAUCAGGUCCCGUUAGUUUCACACUUGCAUGACUAAAAUCAACAACAGAAUAAAUGCAAGUAAUGGAUUUGACCUUCACUUAAUUAUGUCAGUAAACACCAUGGUGAGAGACUGAAGAUGGAAGAAGUUGGAGCUAUGAAGAAAC